rnacentral:rRNA from 1 species
ACGCUGGCGGUAGGCCUAACACAUGCAAGUCGAACGGCAGCACAGGAGAGCUUGCUCUCUGGGUGGCGAGUGGCGGACGGGUGAGGAAUACAUCGGAAUCUGCCCAGUCGUGGGGGAUAACGUAGGGAAACUUACGCUAAUACCGCAUACGACCUUCGGGUGAAAGAGGGGGAUCGCAAGACCUCUCGCGAUUGGAUGAGCCGAUGUCGGAUUAGCUAGUUGGCGGGGUAAUGCCCACCAAGGCGACGAUCCGUAGCUGGUCUGAGAGGAUGAUCAGCCACACUGGAACUGAGACACGGUCCAGACUCCUACGGGAGGCAGCAGUGGGGAAUAUUGGACAAUGGGCGCAAGCCUGAUCCAGCCAUACCGCGUGGGUGAAGAAGGCCUUCGGGUUGUAAAGCCCUUUUGUUGGGAAAGAAAUCUUUCAGGCUAAUACCCUGGGAGGAUGACGGUACCCAAAGAAUAAGCACCGGCUAACUUCGUG